CUGCAGGGAGAGAGUCUGCAGCCUCUCUCUGGGGGAUAGAAGAGGAAGGAGGUGGUCCAGGGAGGCAGCAAGGUGUUUGAGGGAGUAGAACUUGGCUGGAACCGAGAGCAGAGGCAGGGCCUGGAUUCCCCACUGGACACGAGAAGGGUGGAGUGAAGCCUCUGAGGGCUGGACUAGAGCAUGACCUGGCUGAAUGACCAAGUUGCAGGAAGAGAGACCACUGGAUUGACCCUCAGCAGGGGAUGCCAUAUGGGGAGAAAGCCCCUUCAUUGCAUCUGGCCACAAGGAGGUGCUCCUAUGCACAAAGACGUGAGAGGAGCAACUCAUGACUGAGCAGUUGCAUUGGCUAUUAUCACUAUCCAGAGAAACAAGGGAAAUUCACUGAGAACUGUAUAAGAAGUACAGUCUACAUAUCACCAGAUUGGCCUGCAGAAUCUUAACACCCUGUCUAACAUGCAGCAUCCUCUGGUAUUACAGUUUUGGACCAUUCUCAGCACCGCCAAUGUCCAAAUUCUGGACCCAGAUCCAUAGUCAUUCUGUGACCUCACAGGGCUUUGCCACUACAUUUGAGUGCUAAACUGCAAAUAUGUUUGUUUUGCAGGGGAAGAAAUGACUGUACAAGAUAGGGAAGAAUCAGCCCCUCAAUGAUUUUGUGAGGUGGACAAAUAGCCCCUAAAUGUUAAGGAUGACCAAACAGAUCUUCACUUCUAACCUAAAUCAGAUGUGAAUUCAGUGCUCCCUGGCUGGACUCCUGUAUUAUCUCUGCUGCCUACUCUCUCUCUCCAAAUCUGUGUAUAAUAGAAGAGUAGAAAUACAGCUGAAGUACUCAAAUGGAGGGAGUGAAAAUAGCACCAAUACAGUUCAAGAAGUUUUCAGAUUGCAUUAAACGUGAAUGUGCUAAUCAAAUCCCUCUCUAAAGAAAACAGGGAGGGACCAUGUAUAUUUUGGAAGACAGGACUAAAAUAUAAUCAAUCUUGACCAAUUAAA